rnacentral:rRNA from 1 species
CCUACGGGUGGCAGUAGUAGGGAAUCUUUCACAAUGGGCGAAAGCCUGAUGGAGCAACGCCGCGUGCAGGAUGAAGGCCUUCGGGUUGUAAACUGCUUUUAUAAGCGAGAAAUAUGAUGGUAACUUAUGAAUAAGGAUCGGCUAACUACGUGCCAGCAGCCGCGGUCAUACGUAGGGGGCAAGCGUUAUCCGGAUUUACUGGGUGUAAAGGGAGCGUAGGCGGUUUAGCAAGUCAGAUGUGAAAUCCUAUGGCUUAACCAUAGAACUGCAUUUGAAACUGUUAUUCUAGAGUAUGGGAGAGGUAGGUGGAAUUCUUGGUGUAGGGGUAAAAUCCGUAGAGAUCAAGAGGAAUACUCAUUGCGAAGGCGACCUGCUAGAACAUAACUGACGCUGAUGCGCGAAAGCGUGGGGAGCAAACAGGAUUAGAUACCCCAGUAGUC